GAUGAACGCUGGCGGCGUGCCUAAUACAUGCAAGUCGAGCGAACGGACGCGAAGCUUGCUUCUCUGAUGUUAGCGGCGCGCGGGUGAGUAACGCGUGGAUACCCUACCUAUAAGACUGGGAUAACUUCGGGAAACCGUAGCUAAUCCCGUAUAAUAUUUUGAACCGCAUGGUUCAAAAGUGAAAGACGGUCUUGCUGUCACUUAUAGAUGGAUCCGCGCUUCAUUAGCUAGUUGUUAAGGUAACGGCUUAUCACGGCAACGAUGCAUAGCCGACGUGUGAGGGUGAUCGGCCACACGGGAAGUGAGACACGGACCAGACUCCUACGGGAGGCAGCAGUAGGGAAUCGGCCGCAAUGGGCGAAAGCCUGACGGAGCAACGCCGCGUGAGUGAUGAAGGUCUUCGGAGCGUAAAACUGUGUUAUUAGGGAAGAACAGAUGUGUAAGUAACUGUGCACAUCUUGACGGUAACUAGUCAGAAAGCCACGGCUAACUACGUG
rnacentral:rRNA from 1 species